CAGGCCUAACACAUGCAAGUCGAACGAAGGCUUCGGCCUUAGUGGCGCACGGGUGCGUAACGCGUGGGAAUCUGCCCCUUGGUUCGGGAUAACAGUUGGAAACGACUGCUAAUACCGGAUGAUGACGUAAGUCCAAAGAUUUAUCGCCAUGGGAUGAGCCCGCGUCUGAUUAGCUAGUUGGUGGGGUAACGGCCUACCAAGGCGACGAUCAGUAGCUGGUCUGAGAGGAUGAUCAGCCACACUGGGACUGAGACACGGCCCAGACUCCUACGGGAGGCAGCAGUGGGGAAUAUUGGACAAUGGGCGCAAGCCUGAUCCAGCCAUGCCGCGUGAGUGAUGAAGGCCUUAGGGUUGUAAAGCUCUUUUGUCCGGGACGAUAAUGACGGUACCGGAAGAAUAAGCCCCGGCUAACUUCGUGCCAGCAGCCGCGGUAAU
rnacentral:rRNA from 1 species